CAGUAGCCGCGGGAAUACGUAGGGCGCAAGCGUUGUCCGGAAUUAUUGGGCGUAAAGAGCUCGUAGGCGGUCUGUCGCGUCUGGUGUGAAAUCCCGAGGCUCAACCUCGGGCUUGCAUCGGGUACGGGCAGACUAGAGUGCGGUAGGGGAGACUGGAAUUCCUGGUGUAGCGGUGGAAUGCGCAGAUAUCAGGAGGAACACCGAUGGCGAAGGCAGGUCUCUGGGCCGCAACUGACGCUGAGGAGCGAAAGCAUGGGGAGCGAACAGGAUUAGAUACCCCCGUAGUCCCUGUCUCUUAUAC
rnacentral:rRNA from 1 species